rnacentral:tRNA from 1 species
AGGAUAAUAGUUAACCAUAACAUUUAAUUUGCACUUAAAAAGUAUUACAAAUGUAAUUUAUCUUA